AAUCCGUGGUGAGGUCAUUUGGUUUGAUAACCCUUAAAGCGUUCCCAAGCUUCAUAGAAGCUUUCAUUUUGCUUCUGAGUGAAUCCGGAGUUGGAGAAGAAU